CUGUUUCACCUUGUGUCUGAGCUGGUCUGAAGGCUGGUUGUUCAGACUGAGCUUCCUGCCUGCCUGUACCCCGCCAACAGCUUCAGAAGAAGGUGACUGGUGGCUGCCUGAGGAAUACCAGUGGGCAAGAGAAUUAGCAUUUCUGGAGCAUCUGCUGUCUGAGCAGCCCCUGGGUGCGUCCACUUUCUGGGCACGUGAGGUUGGGCCUUGGCCGCCUGAGCCCUUGAGUUGGUCACUUGAACCUUGGGAAUAUUGAGAGAAACAUUAGAAUCAUUGCCCUUUAGAAGAGCAGAACUAUGAUGCCUCCUGUCAGGGAUGGAACGAGGCAUUCCAUGCAGAUGACAACCCAAAGAGAGCAAGAGUGGCUCUAUUUAUAUCAGACAAAAUCGACUUUAAGUCAAAAACUGUCACAAGAGACAUUAAAGUAUAUUAUAUAAUGAAAAAAGCAUCAAUCCACCAUGAAGAUAUAACAAUUAUAAAUAUAUGCACUCAAUAUCAGAGCACCUAAAUAUAUGAAACAAACAAUGACAGAACUGAAGGGAGAAAUAGCCAGCCAUACAAAAAUAGUAGGAGACUUCAACACUGUACUUUAAAUAAUGGAUAGAACAUUCAGACAGAAGAUUAAUAAGGAAACAGGGGACUUAAACAACAUUAUAGACCAAAUGGACCGAACAGAAAUACACAGAACGUUCCACCCUACAGCAGUAGAACACACAUUAUCCUCAAAUGCACAUGGAACUUUCUCCAAGGUAGAUCACAAGUUGGGUCACAAAACAAGUCUUUGCAAAUUUAAGAGACUGAAAUCAUACCAUGUAUCUUUUCUGACCAUGAUGGAAUGAAACUAAAAAUCAAUGGCAGAAGGAAAAAUAGAAAGUUCACAAAUAUGUGGAAAUUAAACAACACACUCUUGAACAACAAUUAGGCCAUAAAAAUAAAAAAAGAAAUUAGGAAAUAUCUUGAGAUAAAUGAAAAGAAAAGCACAACAUACCCAAACUUACAGGAUAAAAGCAGUACUAAGCAAAGAAGUACUAAGAGGUACUUUAUUGCAAUACACAUCUGCAGUGAAAAAGAAGAAAGAUCUCAAGUAAAUAGUCUAACUUCGUGCCUCAAGGAGAGGAGAAGAAGAUGAAGAAGAAGAGGAACUAAGCCUAAAAUUAGUGAAGGAAAUAACAAAGAUUAGAGUAGGAACCAAGAAAAUACAGAAUAGAAAAGCAAUAGAAAAAAAAUCAACAAAUUUUUUGAAAAGAAUAACAAAAGAAUUGGUUUUUUGAAAAGAUAAACAAAAUCAACAAAUCCCUAGUUAGGCUAAGUAAGAAAGAGAGAAGACUCAAAUAAACAAUAUCAGAAAUAAAAGAGGAGACAUUACAACUGAUGCCACAGAAAUAAAAACAUGAGGCUAUAAUGAACAAUUCUAUUCCAACAAACUGGAUAAUCUAGAAGAAAUGAAUAAAUUCACAAAACCUUCCAAUCUACGAUGACUGAAUCAUGAAGAAAUACAAAGUCUGAACAGACUUAUAACUAAUGUGGAGGUUUAGUCAAUAAUCAAAAAUGUUCCCCAAACGAAGAAGUCCAGGACCAGAUGGCUUCACAGGUGAAUUCUUCCAAACAUCUCAAGAAGAAUUAAUGCCAGUUCUUCUUAAACUAUUUUUAAAAAUUGAAGAAGAGGGCACACUUCCAAAUUUAUUUUAUGUGGCCAACAUUAUCCCGAUACCAAAGCCAAACAAAGACACCACAAGAAAUGAAAACUGCAGGUCAAUAUCUCUGAUGAAUAUACAUAUAAAAACUCAUAACAAAAUACUAGCAAAUCAAAUUCAACAGUACAUUUAAAUGAUCGUACAUCCUGACUGAGUGGCAUUUAUCCCUAGGAUACAAGUAUGGAUCAACAUACAAAAAUAAAUCAGUGCGAAAUGGCCUAUUAACAGGGCAAAGAUAUAAAGAUAACAUGAUCAUCUCAAUAGAUGCAGAGAAAGCAUUUGACAAAAUUCAAUACCCUUUCGUGAUUAAACAAUUUUUCAACAAACUGGAAAUAGAGUCUCAACAUCAUCAAGACCAUAUAUAAGAAAAUUUUCACUGUUGAGUAUUAUAUUAGAUGUGAGCUUUUCAUAUAUGGGAUUCAUAAUAUGUUUCAAAUAUAUUACAAAGCUAUAGUAAUUGAAACAGCAUGGGAAUAGCAUAAAGACAAACACAUAGGCCAUCAGAAGAGAAGAGAGAGCUCAGAAAUAAAUCCAUGCAUAUACAGUGCCUUAGUCCAUUCAGCCUGCUAAAACAAAAUACCAUAGACUGGUGGCUUAUAAAACACAGAAAUUUAUUUUUCACAGUUCUGGAGGCUAGGAAAUUCAAGAUCAAGUAGCUAGCAGAUUUGCUAUCUAGUGAGGGCCUGCUUCUUGGUUCAUAAAUGGCCAUCUUCUCCAUGUGUCCUCAUGGAAUUAGGGUGAUGGAGCGCUCUGGGAUUUCUUUUAUAAGGCACUAGUCCCAUUCAUAAGUGCUCUACCUUCAUGACCUAAUCACCUCCCAAAGGUCCCAUCUCCAAAUACCAACACAUAGGGGAUUAGGUUUCAACAUAUGAAUUUUAGGGGAAACAAACAUCAGUCUAUUGCAUAUACUACCUAAAGCAAUCUACAAAUUUGGUGUGAUCUCUAUUAACAUCCCAAUGGAUUUUUUUUUUACAGAAAAAAACCUCUGAAGUAUAAAAAGGACCACAAAUAGCUAAAUCAGUUUUGAGGAAGAACAAAGCUAGAAGCACCAUACUUCCUGAUUUCUAAAUAUAUUAUACUCCCAUGGUCAUAGCAGCACUAUUUACAGUAGCCAAGAUGUGCAAACAACCUAAAUAUCUAGGAUGGGGAAAGAAAAUGUGGUAGUCACAUAAAAUGGAAUAUUAUUUGCCUUAUAAAGGAGGGAAAUUCUAUAAUAUAAGACAACAUGGAUGAAUCUUGAAGACAUUAUGCUAAGUGAAAUAAGCCAGUCACCAAAAGACAAAUACUGUAUGAUUCUACUUACAUGUGGUAUCUAAAGUAGUCAAAUUUAUAGAAUCAAAGAGUGGAAUGGUGGUUGCCAGGGGCUGGGGAGGGGGGAAAUGAGUUGCCUGUCAACAAGCAUAAAGUUUUAGUUAAGCAAGAUGAGUAAGUUCUAGAGAUCUGCUGUACAACAUUGUACCUAUAGUCAACAAUACUGUAUUGUACACUUAAACAUUUGCUAAGAGGGUAGAUCUCACUUAAAUGUUCUUACUACAAUAAAAUAUAAUUGAUAAAGCAA